CGGUUGAUCCUGCCGGCGGUCACUGCUAUCGAGUUCCGACUAAGCCAUGCGAGUCACAGGCCGUAAGGUACUGGCAGACGGCUCAGUAACACGCGGAUAAUCCACCCUUAGGUGGGGUAUAGCCUUGGGAAACUGAGAUUAAUCCCCCAUAGAUCCCGGAAACUGGAAUGUUACGGGUUUGAAAGUUACGACGCCUAAGGACGAGUCUGCGGCCUAUCAGGUAGUAGGUGGGGUAAAGGCCCACAUAGCCUAUGACGGGUACGGGCACUGAGAGGUGUAGCCCGGAGAUGGGUUCUGAGACACGAACCCAGGCCCUACGGGGCGCAGCAGGCGCGAAACCUUCGCAAUGCGCGCAAGCGCGACGAGGGGAACUCGAGUGCCAUUGCCAUUUUUGGUGAUGGCUUUUCUUGACCCUAAAAAGAUCAGGGAAUAAAAGCUGGGUAAGACGGGUGCCAGCCGCCGCGGUAAUACCCGCAGCUCGAGUGGUGGCCACUAUUAUUGAGCCUAAAGCGUCCGUAGCCGGUCUUGUAAAUCUCUGGGUAAAUCCUGCCGCUUAACGGUGGGAAUGCUGGAGAGACUGCAAGACUGGGGAUCGGGUGAAGCGAGAGGUACUCCUGGGGUAGGGGUAAAAUCCUGUAAUCCUGGGGGGACGACCGGUGG
rnacentral:rRNA from 1 species